AGCAGUAUGGUGUAAUGUCUGCACACGGGACCUGCCUACGUUUCAAGGCACCCACCAAAAUUGAAUCCCGAGGUCCUUGUUCGAACCAAGGUGCUGCUC